GAUGAAGAACGCAGCGAAGUGCGAUAAGUAAUGUGAAUUGCAGAAUUCAGUGAAUCAUCGAAUCUUUGAACGCACAUUGCGCCCGCCAGUAUUCUGGCGGGCAUGCCUGUCUGAGCGUCAUUUCAACCCUCAUGCCCCUAGGGCGUGGUGUUGGGGAUCGGCCAAAGCCCGCGAGGGACGGCCGGCCCCUAAAUCUAGUGGCGGACCCGUCGUGGCCUCCUCUGCGAAGUAGUGAUAUUCCGCAUCGGAGAGCGAUGAGCCCCUGCCGUUAAACCCCCAACUUUCCAAGGUUGACCUCAGAUCAGGUAGGAAUACCCGCUGAACUUAAGCAUAUCAUAAGCGGAGGA
rnacentral:misc_RNA from 1 species